rfam:Brassica napus, WGS project CCCW01000000 data, contig: 25962
GGGGAUGUAGCUCAUAUGGUAGAGCGCUCGCUUUGCAUGCGAGAGGCACAGGGUUCGAUUCCCUGCAUUUCCA